GUGCUCACUUCAGCAGCACAUAUACUAAAAUUGAAACAAUACAGGGAAGAUUAGUAUGGCCCCCCGAGCAAGGAUGGCAUGCAAAUUCGUGAAGCACUCCAUACUUAC